rnacentral:lncRNA from 1 species
UAUGUUGUUAGUGUCAGUGUAGCUAUGUUGUGUAGCUAUGUGUAGCUGUGUAGCUAUGUUGUUAGCGUCAGUGUAGCUAUGUUGUUAGUGUCAGUCUAUGUUGUUAGCGUCAGUGUAGCUAUGUUGUUAGCAUCAUUGUGUAGCUAUGUUGUUAGCAUCAUUGUGAAGCUAUGUUGUUAGCGUCAGUGUAGCUAUGUUGUUAGUGUCAGUGUAGCUAUGUUGUUAGCAUCAUUGUGUAGCUAUGUUGUUAGCAUCAUUGUGAAGCUAUGUUGUUAGCGUCAGUGUAGCUAUAUUGUUAGUGUCAGUGUGGCUAUGUUAUUAGCGUCAUUGUGAAGCUAUGUUGUUAGCGUCAGUGUAGCUAUGUUGUUAGCAUCAUUGUGUAGCUAUGUUGUUAGCAUCAGAGUAGCUAUGUUGUUAGCAUCAGAGUAUGUUGUUCGCAUCAUUGUGUAGCUAUGUUGUUAGCGUCAGUGUAGCUAUGUUGUUAGCAUCAUUGUGUAGCUAUGUUGUUUGCGUCAGUGUAGCUAUGUUGUUAGCGUCAGUGUAGCUAUGUUGUUAGCAUCAGAGUAUGUUGUUAGCAUCAUUGUGUAGCUAUGUUGUUAGCGUCAGUGUAGCUAUGUUGUUAGCAUCAGAGUAUGUUGUUAGCAUCAUUGUGUAGCUAUGUUGUUUGCGUCAGUGUAGCUAUGUUGUUAGCAUCAUUGUGUUGUGUUAAACAAAACCCACCACCACUUGAUGCUAAAUGCAUCAUACCGGCUGUAUUUUUAAAAAGUUAUAUAUGUUGAAAACUUGAUUGUAAAACAUGUUAGGACUAUAUCAACAACGGACUCAUGAAAGACAUACCGACAGAUAGUUGUUGGUUCCUUUAAGGAAGAACGAUGUAGAGAUUUGACUAGGAAAUAUAUGUAGUGUUCACAAAUAAUGAAACGUCCCGAUGUAUCACUCAUUACUACUGAAAUGACCGAAACAAAUAUCCGUAGGAACGUGGAGAGCGUUGAGCUUUGGCGCGGGGCCGCGUGAAACUUAAAGACACUGCAGCAGCACUCCCAUGUGAAGGACAGAGAUUGUGUUUGACUUGACAAAUCAUGAGGCAAAUCGCUCAACAACAAGAAAAACAGCAC